rnacentral:rRNA from 1 species
AUUGAACGCUGGCGGCAGGCCUAACACAUGCAAGUCGAGCGGAUGAAGGGAGCUUGCUCCUGGAUUCAGCGGCGGACGGGUGAGUAAUGCCUAGGAAUCUGCCUGGUAGUGGGGGAUAACGUCCGGAAACGGGCGCUAAUACCGCAUACGUCCUGAGGGAGAAAGUGGGGGAUCUUCGGACCUCACGCUAUGAGAUGAGCCUAGGUCGGAUUAGCUAGUUGGUGGGGUAAAGGCCUACCAAGGCGACGAUCCGUAACUGGUCUGAGAGGAUGAUCAGUCACACUGGAACUGAGACACGGUCCAGACUCCUACGGGAGGCAGCAGUGGGGAAUAUUGGACAAUGGGCGAAAGCCUGAUCCAGCCAUGCCGCGUGUGUGAAGAAGGUCUUCGGAUUGUAAAGCACUUUAAGUUGGGAGGAAGGGCAGUAAGUUAAUACCUUGCUGUUUUGACGGUACCAACAGAAUAAGCACCGGCUAACUUCGUG